rnacentral:rRNA from 1 species
CACGUAGGGAGCAAGCGUUGUCCGGAUUUAUUGGGCGUAAAGAGCUCGUAGGUGGUUCGAUAAGUCGGGUGUGAAAACUCUGGGCUCAACUCAGAGACGUCACUCGAUACUGUCGUGACUGGAGUCUGGUAGGGGAGUGUGGAAUUCCCAGUGUAGCGGUGAAAUGCGUAGAUAUUGGGAGGAACACCAGUGGCGAAGGCGGCACUCUGGGCCAGUACUGACACUGAGGAGCGAAAGCGUGGGGAGCGAACAGG